rnacentral:tRNA from 1 species
UGCGGGAUCGUCUAACGGCAGGACGCCAACCUUUGGAGUUGGAUAUUCUAGGUUCGAAUCCUAGUCCCGCAG